CUAGGAUUACUCACUGGUUGGCUUGGAAGCUUUCCUUCCUCUCGCUUGUUCAGUGCAUUAGCUCGUUGCCCCAUUUGGGAUUCUAGCUUGGCGAUAGAUUGCGUGUGAGAGUGCACCAAUUGUGUAAUGGUUUCCAAACCUUGAAGAGCGGUCAACACUUUCUCCUCAAAGGCUGUGUUUCUUUGGGGUGGAGGAGGAUUGUGUUGAAAUUGAGUCGAGGGACGGUAGGGAUGAAUAUCUUGUGGGGUUUGAAAAUUUUGGGAGUAGGGUUGGGCAGUAUUCGAAGCUUGCUGCUUCCAAGAAAAGUUUGGAUGAUUCCGCCAUCCCGGGUUAUAUGUAUUGGAAAAUGGAUCAUUACCCGG
rnacentral:lncRNA from 1 species